UACGGGGGAUGCAAGCGUUAUCCGGAUUUAUUGGGUUUAAAGGGUGCGUAGGCUGUGAGGUAAGUCAGCGGUGAAACGCCCCCGCUCAACGGGGUGAAGUGCCAUUGAUACUGCCUUGCUGGAAUGCGGAUGCCGUGGGAGGAAUGUGUGGUGUAGCGGUGAAAUGCAUAGAUAUCACACAGAACACCGAUUGCGAAGGCAUCUCACGAAUCCGCGAUUGACGCUGAUGCACGAAAGCGUGGGUAUCAAACAGG
rnacentral:rRNA from 1 species